rnacentral:rRNA from 1 species
UACGUAGGGGGCUAGCGUUGUCCGGAAUCAUUGGGCGUAAAGCGCGUGUAGGCGGCCCGGUAAGUCCGCUGUGAAAGUCGGGGGCUCAACCCUCGGAUGCCGGUGGAUACUGUCGGGCUCGAGUCCGGAAGAGGCGAGUGGAAUUCCUGGUGUAGCGGUGAAAUGCGCAGAUAUCAGGAGGAACACCGAUGGCGAAGGCAGGUCUCUGGGCCAGCUACUGACGCUGAGAAGCGAAAGCAUGGGGAGCGAACAGGAUAGAAACCCCGGU